rnacentral:rRNA from 1 species
GAUGAACGCUGGCGGCGUGCCUAAUACAUGCAAGUCGAGCGAACAGACGCGGAGCUUGCUCCUCUGACGUUAGCGGCGGACGGGUGAGUAACACGUGGAUAACCUACCUAUAAGACUGGGAUAACUUCGGGAAACCGGAGCUAAUACCGGAUAAUCUAUUGAACCGCAUGGUUCAAUAGUGAAAGACGGUUUUGCUGUCACUUAUAGAUGGAUCCGCGCCGCAUUAGCUAGUUGGUAAGGUAACGGCUUACCAAGGCAACGAGGCGUAGCCGACCUGAGAGAGUGGUCGGCCACACGGGAACUGAGACACGGUCCAUACUCCUACGAGAGGCAGCAGUAGGGAAUCUUCCGCAAUGGGCGAAAGCCUGACGGAGCAACGCCGCGUGAGUUAUGAAGGUCUUCGGAGCGGAAAACUCUGUUAUUAGUGAAGAACAAAUGUGUAAGUAACUAUGCACGUCUUGACGGUACCGAAUCAGAAAGCCACGGCUAACUACGUG